GUGCGUGUAGUUUAAAAAAAUAUCAAGCUGUGACCUUGAAAAUAGAGUAACCCUCUCACGCACC
rnacentral:tRNA from 1 species